rnacentral:rRNA from 1 species
UACGUAGGGGGCUAGCGUUGUCCGGAAUUAUUGGGCGUAAAGCGCGUGUAGGCGGCUUUGCAAGUCGGGUGUGAAAGCCCUCGGCUCAACCGAGGAAGUGCGCCCGAAACUGCAGAGCUUGAGUACCGGAGAGGAUGGCGGAAUUCCCCAAGUAGAGGUGAAAUUCGUAGAUAUGGGGAGGAACACCGGUGGCGAAGGCGGCCAUCUGGACGGAUACUGACGCUGAGACGCGAAAGCGUGGGGAGCAAACAGG